rnacentral:rRNA from 1 species
UAGGGAAUUUUGGACAAUGGGCGAAAGCCUGAUCCAGCAAUGCCGCGUGAGUGAUGAAGGCCUUCGGGUUGUAAAGCUCUUUUGGUAGGAACGAAACGGUCCGGGCUAAUACCCUGGACUAAUGACGGUACCUGCAGAAUAAGCACCGGCUAACUACGUGCCGGCAGCCGCGGUAAUACGUAGGGUGCAAGCGUUAAUCGGAAUUACUGGGCGUAAAGCGUGCGCAGGCGGUUUUGUAAGACCGAUGUGAAAUCCCCGGGCUUAACCUGGGAACUGCAUUGGUGACUGCAAGGCUAGAGUGUGUCAGAGGGAGGUGGAAUUCCGCGUGUAGCAGUGAAAUGCGUAGAGAUGCGGAGGAACACCGAUGGCGAAGGCAGCCUCCUGGGAUAACACUGACGCUCAUGCACGAAAGCGUGGGGAGCAAACAGGAUUAGAUACCCUGGUAGUCCACGCCCUAAACGAUGUCUACUAGUUGUC